UCGACCGAGAUGUUGUUAGCAGGAACGUUCGUCGCGUUAUUAUUUUAAACCGUGUAAGAGUGUGUUGGUGACAGCCCCUAACCGAAAGGCUACUUGAAACUGGUGUGAGUCUAAGGUGAAGAAGUGUCCAGCAGUCAUCAAAGUGUUCACAACUCCUACACCAAUGAGGUCACCAAGCAUGAGAGUGUGUCCUGCACCACAAUCAGGUCUCAUCUUCCUGUGCGCUAUAACAUUUGCAGUGAUGGCGAUUGCGUAUAGCCUGAGCGAUGAGUCACUAUCACCCAGUCUUGCCACUCCUAGUCAGCAAAGUGAUGCCAACUUAAUCGGCCUCCA